AAAUUGAAGAGUUUGAUCAUGGCUCAGAUUGAACGCUGGCGGCAGGCCUAACACAUGCAAGUCGAACGGUAACAGGGAGCAGCUUGCUGCUUUGCUGACGAGUGGCGGACGGGUGAGUAAUGUCUGGGAAACUGCCUGAUGGAGGGGGAUAACUACUGGAAACGGUGGCUAAUACCGCAUAACGUCGCAAGACCAAAGAGGGGGACCUUCGGGCCUCUUGCCAUCAGAUGUGCCCAGAUGGGAUUAGCUUGUUGGUGAGGUA
rnacentral:rRNA from 1 species